rnacentral:misc_RNA from 1 species
GAUGAAGAACGCAGCGAAAUGCGAUAAGUAGUGUGAAUUGCAGAAUUCAGUGAAUCAUCGAAUCUUUGAACGCACAUUGCGCCGCUUGGUAGUCCAUGGGGCAUGCCUGUUCGAGCGUCAUUUGUACCUUCAAGCCUUGCUUGGUGUUGGGUGUUUGUCUCGCCUCUGCGCGCAGACUCGCCUCAAAACAAUUGGCAGCCGGCGUAUUGAUUUCGGAGCGCAGUACAUCUCGCGCUUUGCACUCAGAACGACGACGUCCAAAAGUACAUUUUUACACUCUUGACCUCGGAUCAGGUAGGGAUACCCGCUGAACUUAAGCAUAUCAAUAAGCGGAGGA